CCUGGGAGGCCGCGGUGCACACACAGCGGGGAAACUGCAGAUUCCGGUCGCGCCCGGGCCGAACCGCGGGGUGUGAGCCGCGCGGGCCGCCGUAGUCAGCUGCCGCGAGCAGGAAGUGUCCGAGGCUGGCGGAGACUGCACGAUGGCCCCGGACCCCUGGUUCUCCACAUACGAUGCCACCUGCCAAAUUGCACAAGAAAUUGCCGAGAAAAUCCAGCAGCAAAAUCAGCACGGAAGAAGUGGAGAAAAUACAAUCAGGCUGAACGUGACAAUCAGAGCUUUGUUGCAGAGUCUGAAGGAAAAGAUCGCCCUUUUGAAGGACUUAUUGCUAAGAGCUGUGUCAACACAUCAGAUAACGCAGCUUGAAGGGGACCGAAGACAGAACCUCCUGGACGAGCUCCUAACUCGGGAGAGGCUACUUCUGGCGUCCUUUAAGAACGAGGGUGCAGAACCCGAUCUCAUCAGGUCCAGCCUGAUGACAGGAGGGGCUAAGCGGGGAGCACCUAACCCUUGGCUCUUUGAGGAGCCAGAGGAGACCAGAGGCCUGGGUUUUGAUGAAAUCCGGCAACAGCAGCAGAAAAUCAUCCAAGAACAGGACGCAGGCCUCGAUGCCCUGUCCUCUAUCAUAAGCCGCCAGAAACAGAUGGGGAAGGAGAUUGGGAAUGAACUGGAUGAACAAAAUGAGAUAAUCGAUGACCUCGCCAACCUGGUGGAGAACACAGACGGGAAACUCCGCACGGAGACCAGGCGUAUGAACCUAGUGGACAGAAAGUCAACCUCUUGCGACUCGGCCUCUGCAGCUGCCACGGACAGCUUAGCGUUGUCUGAAGGCCGAAGACCAGAACCCAAGCCGCGAGCUUACAAGCCAUCACACUUGAAAGAUGUGUUGAGGGAUGAUCAUGGUGAUUUUACUGUUGCUCGUGGCCAUCGUGGUCGUGGCGGUCUGGCCCACCAACUAGUGGCAGUGAGGGGCCCCCCGGCUGUGACGCUGCCAGUGGUGGAGAGAAGCUCGGCACCCCGUUGCUACACGCAAAAGCUGCUCUCAAUAAACUCCCCCGACGCUCUGAAGGUCCGCUGUGCGUUGCUUCGGUAAAGCAGAGCCGGACGGCUCUGGAGGGCUGCGUGGCGCUCCAGGCCCCACGUGACCCUUUCAGAGUCCACCUCGGUCACUGGGGCGCUGGCCCAGGGUCCCACCGGCGGUCGUGCCCCGUGGCUGCCGGUGGUUUGCGGCAGUUAGUGGCCACGAAUGUCUGCCUGCCUGGGGACGUCAUGUGCCCACGGAGGAAACAGUGAGUCCCUGUGUGUGCAGGCAGGGGGUGGGGGACGGGGGUCCGUGUGUGUACCUGUCACCCCGCCACCCCGCCCAAGUCACUGCGCCUGGGGCUGCUGCCAUCACUCAGAAAGCUGGACCCCACUGGGGGAAUCACCUUCCGGGCCAAGCACGUCCCUUUCCUCUGGGACCGUGACCUCAUUUUCCAAGGCUGAAGCAUGAUGGUAAGUGGCCGCGCCAGCGUGGGGCGCUGUCAGGCUGGGAGGCAUCUGUCGGGGCUCGGAGAAGGACGAGAUUCGGGCAUCGGGGGCAGUGCCUCUGCGAAGGGUGAGCUCCCGAAGGAGAUGGGCCGUGCUGGAAGGGGGGCCGAGGCUCGCGGCCGGUGCGGUGCCCUCGAAGGCUUUUGCCCUGUUGCACGGGGGAGGCGGGUGGUUGCUAACAGAUCACCGAAAGGAAGAUCAAGAAUCUGCAAACCCCUGUCUUCUAGCCUUGUCGUGCGAAACCCCAAAUCCGUAUAAACAGCAUCUCCUUGGAACACCCCCCCCUCCACUUUGGGGCUCCCGGGAGGCGGCAUUGAAGGUCUGUUUGACUUUCUCACCUCCUCUUGACUUGCUCAGCACGGAGCCCCGGCAACUGGUGGGGCGUCUUUGAACCCGAGCCAUGGCGUCCUGGCUCAGUCACACGGAAAGGCCUUUUCAAGCCAAACACUGAGCCGAUGUCUGCAUACAGCAGCUUCUGUUCUUUUGACUGAGCGGGCUCCGCGCCCAGCCCCAGCCCUGCUAGCUGGGCCCCCUGGACAAGUGACUGCACUUCUCUGGGCCCGCGGGCAGGGGAGGGGGUAAUGAGCUGGCCGGCUAGAAUGUGAGGACCUACCAUCUGAGCCUUGGGCUGUGCCAUGCCAGGGAGGGGGCAGGGUGGUGCCAGGCAGGAAGCCCCCCCCCCACCCUGCCCCCGCUCAUUAGUGUCCUCAGGACUGGGCUUCUCACGGGAAACACCCACCGCUCUGAAGCAAAGGACACCUGGCUGGAAUGAGCCACUUUGGGGGGAUCCGUGGCCCAAGACCCACCCCGGAGUCAAGUGACCAAUGCCAAGGUGGCAUGUCCCAGCCAGCUUCCCCCUGCAAGGUGUCAGGCCUGCAUUCCCACAGUCCCGCACUCUGAAUUGGUCGUGUGGACGGACAGAAAAAAGCCAUGUCACGAAAGUUCUUGAGAACUGGACCCUCGACCUAGGAUGACGCAAGGUGAGCCUCCGACCCCCGCGUGCAGCAUAGGCCUCUGGGCCCCGGCGACUCGGCAGUGUCAGGCAUUGCCAUUCCAGCAGAGAGCUGCUCCCGAACGGAUGGGGACACCGGAGACCCCCCUGGUCUGGCUUUGGCCCCUGGUUCGGAGGACCAGGCACCCAUCUCUCAGAGCCGGACCCCUGAGGCAGCUGGGCUGGCCCCCAUCCCCGUCACCUCCCCGCGCAGCCAGGAAAAGCCUUUCCCUGCCUUCCAGGCUGCGGACACCCGUCCCUGAAACAGCUGGGCGCAGAAAUGACAGCUUCCUGGUGACAUCGGCCCGGCCCCAUGCGGCGUGGGGACACGGCGUGUUCCUAGUGACCGAACUGUUGAUUUAAUAAGGAAAGCGCAACUCUCAGAGUUUAAAUACAGCCUCUGAGAAGCCCCGUGAGCUCAGCUCCUGGUGGCUGCGUGGCCCCAGCCCUGUGCCCGCACCGCGUGCGGCCUUUAGCGGUGGCCGGAAACCCCCUCCGGGUUUCACCAGCCCCACCUGUGGCCGUUUCCUCGAGGGUCUCUGCUGGGCUUUGAGCAGAAGGAACUGACUGUGUGAAAGGCAGAAAUGCCACUUGCGGGUUCUGAAUCCGGAGGUGAAGUUCAAAGGUGCGCUCUGCCCUGCUGUUGAAUUUGGGGGCAGGUGACCCCUCUUUCUGCCGUCCCCUGGGGCCGCCCUGACCUGGAGGUUUUGGGGGGACUGAAACACACACUGUCCCACCUGGAAGCUCUUUUGCUCCAAGUUGCACUCAGCCAGCAAACCUUAGGAUGCUCUCCAAGCAAAGGUGCCCUUUUCUGGUCUUUUCUGGGGUAGUUAGGGCUCAGCGUUGCUGGCAACUUCUAAGGCCAGAAGCCACAUUCCAUAAGAGCUGCCUGAAGACGCCCCAACUUUCUCCCCCAGCGCCCCCCUUCCCCCGCAUGCUCAGGCCGCCAAUAAACACUGGGAGACAGCACACAGUGUACAAGAGUUUAUUUAAUUGAUAUCUGAACUUAGUUCUAUCAUGUGGGGCCCACGUUACAAGUUCUAUCUGGGUCCGUUACAACUCUAACAAAAACAAAAACCAAAAAAAAAGA